ensembl:lncRNA
UCCCAGAAAACUGAAUAUAUGACGGGUUUCGUCCACUGAAGUCAGAGUCUAUUAAAACGGACAGCGAGGAAGAUUCAGUAGACGAGAAUUGAAGAUAAGAUCGCAAAGAGAGCGCGCAAAGUGAGGAGCAUGAAGCAUUAACUUUAAAUUAGCGUAAAUUAAAUCUACGAAAUAAGGUUAAUGGGUUAUGAACGCGCGUAUACAAGAGGAAGAUUCAAGACCAGCAUUGUUAUUUGCAUGUUUUCUUGCUUACACAAGAGUAAUUUACAAACAUUUUAAAUUCAUUUCCUAUUCUGGUCUCUUGUGUGGGGAAAAUAAGGAACGCAAAAUCAAAAUUUUGGUCAAAAUAAAAUAGAUGCCCAAUCAUUAGGCUAUCACUUACAGCUUGCCUAUUAAAUAAAAAAAAGUUGAAACUGACACUGGGGAUCAGCUUAUCCGGUUUCUAAAGUGAAUACGAUAUUUGGAUGGUCAGCAUCAUCAACAGCAAAUAUUUCUACAUUAAACAAAACCACCUAUUUAAAUCCCUUUAUCCUAAUUAAACUGCUCAUAAAGCGCAACUUCUUCGCGAUUCAUUAGCAAUUUCAUCCCGAUAACAUGAAUGGGCUGAUUUCUCAACGCUUUGCUCUAGCACACCGCACGGAACACAUUAGUAUUCGUGGCCACAUCUCGCGCGUAAAAGCAUCUCAGGGCUGAAAUGAAUUCAUGAAGCACGUUUGUCCACUCACCUACAAUCCAGAAGAGAGCUGAGGAUGGUAUCUAAUGUUCAGUUUAAAGAUGCCUCUGCGUUCAGCUCAGUUUUGACAGAUAGAUCCACAUCCGACUGAACGCCGAAGCCUCAAAGGUAGCACCUUCAAAAAAAAAAAAAAAAAAAAAACAAUUCCUCGAAGAUUUCUUGUAUGCAAGAAAACGAUGAAUGAACGGUCGCCGAGCGGCUUCAGGUAACUGAUCUAUGCAGCAAAAUUCAACGCGUCGUCUGUCGAUGCCGGAUGAUGGUCAUUCACAAGCGCAUAUGCCAAGUGCACGGCACAUUCCCCCAGUCUUUUGACACUGACAGCGGCUUGACAUCACGCCUUUUCAUCAGCAGUUCUCCGUUAGACCGUCAUGCACGCGCUCAUUGCUGUUCUGUGAAGGUUUUACGCGAGACUGGCACUCACUUACUGCCGGCUCUAUUUGCAUGUCGCAUGUUUUAACUAUUUCAUGCACUCAACGAUGGUCAUUUAACAAACGCACAACUUAGGUGGUUAGAAUGUACAUUUGAACAUUUAGGUUUUGAAUAAUUAAAUACCAUUGUAACUGUGCUCCCUGAAUAGUGCAAUAAUACAUGUCUCAAGAGUCUGUGUAGACGAUAUCUGGAACUACAAUCUUUUUAAUCUAAUCUUUAAUCUAUCUAGCCGCAACUGCACUAAUGAGAUUCAUUAUUUAAUCAAAAUAGUUGUUCAUGAUAAACAUUCGCGCUUGUGUGCAAUCACAUUUGGUAGCUACUGUAAAAAUAGUGCAAAUUUCAAAGAAGGAUUCUGUGGCUCAAUUUCUUAAAAAUGUCAUACAGAUAUUUUCCUAAUAAAGCAUUAAAGUAUGUUCAAAAACAGCAUGAAUACAAAUCUCAGAAUUACGUGUUUGAACGUAAUGAAUUUAUGCAAAUAAAUAGUUUUUUUUUUUUUUUUUUUUUACAAAAUGUAAAAUCCAUAUACCGUUUUACAUCUGCAAGUGUGAGGGAAGUGCUAGUCCAGUAGUAAUUUUGCUAGACAGUGCCAUCUUUGGACAGAAGUAUGCAAUUACCUCAUCUAAACCUAAUCAACAGAGACAUUGUAGCCUUUCGAAUAGGGUAUAAUUUCAUUUUAUUGGAACAAUUAUGUGUCCAUAGAAUAUUAGUACCUUUCAAAGCAAUGAAGAAAAAUGUGCUGAGUAUUAAA